GGGAUCUGGGGCCUACGUGAAAGAAUGUGUCUGGGCUCGGGGCCAAAGAUGGCCACUUUGACCCUGACCCCAAGGCACAAGUUAAUAAGAAAAUGUCCUGUGUCAUGUUCUUUGUCUGGGCUGGCCACCCCAAAGAGGCACCUGACCGGACUAUAGAAACAUGCCAUCUGUGGGAACAAGAGGAAAUAACUCAAAGUAUCUAAAUGUCUGAAACCCUGAGUCAGAACCAAGAAAACAGUAGAAUAAUAGGGAGUCACAGGCAUAGAACAAUUGGGAGUCUCAGUGAGGAGCCGAUGCUUUGCCUCAGACCCGGACAAUUGGCACUCCCGCCUGCCAUACAAACCAUUGGGACGUCCCCGGCUGAUUGUGGUGUGGAUGUUCUUGGCAGCUCAGUUCCAAGAGGAAGAAAUAGAAGGUUUUAGUCUUAAGGCCUGGGCUGGGAGAUCCCAGAAUGUAUUUCUACUGCAUUCUAUUUAUCAGAGAAGUCCUACGGUGUUCUUAGACUCAAAAGAAGGAGAAAGAAACGCCACCUCUCAAUGGAAGAAAGACACAGGCACAUGAGGAGGGAAGACAGAAAUGGUAGCAUCUUUGGAUGCCUGACAACACUUCAAAUGGGGGGUGCUCUAUAUGCCUGGGUUCUGGAAUAAGGAGGACUCAGCAGAACCCCCAGCUGACUCAUGAUAGGUGAGUCAAGUCUACCAGGUGGAGAAGACAGCUGAGAGUACCUCAUGCAGAGAGAGCAUUGUGUAAAAAGGCACAAAGAAGUCUGAGGACACCAAGGUGGGAAUGUAACAUAGCUUGAGCGGAGUGAAGCUUCAAGAAUGAACCUGGAGGAGCAAGUUGGGACUCAUUCAUAAGGAAGAAAAAGAAUGCCUUCGAGGAAGAUACAAUCACAGAUAACCAGCCCCCAGCUGCCACUGAUGCCCAGAAGUCUGAUUGCCCAGGGGCUUCUCUGGAGUGAAAGAAACACAGAUUACCCCUUUGUUUCUCCAAAACUCCUUCUGCCAAGCCCCUUUGGCAGAAACCACCCGCUGCUUUCUUCUCUCAUUAAGGUGGAUUUGUGAGAGCCUAUCCUCCCACCUUCUCUUUUGGCCAAUUCAGCUAGAUGUUCCUCCAUCCCUGAGUGCUGAGGUCUCAGUGAUUGGUUGACUGCAUCGCAUGCGAACUCCAGGUUAAGAGGUUCGCUAUCAAAAUGACUAGAGUUUAACCUUUGUCAAGGAAGUGAUUUGGAAUCAGUGAAGGUUUUCGAAUAGGAGAUUCUCCCUGUCCCAUUAUCUUUUGGGAAGAUUACUUAGACUUUAGUGUGGAGGCAGGAUGGAAGAAGGGGAGGUGGUUAAGACUUAGACAUGGAGAAAGUUUGGAGAGGGACUUUUCUUAUAGCAUAGGAAAGGAGAGAUGAGGACAUGAACUUUGGUGACAUUAAUGUUUUAUCAUUACAACACUAACAUUUUGGUAGAGAAAAUAUGAAAUUGGGUAGAGAAAAUAUGAAAUUGUGAUUAAGAACUUGGCUCUGAAACUAGGUAUGACAAAGAGAUUGCCACAUAUUGAGGUAUACGGGGUAACUAUUUGAGUUCAAAACUGAGCCAGCUUGAACUAAAAACCCUGACUUAUGGCCUAUCAAAGAUACAUUGUACAUCUGCUUAACCAUUAAAGUAAAGAAUGCACUCUCUUAAGAUAAGAAAGCAUACUUCCAGGUCGGCCUGAUGGCGCAGUGGUUAAGUUUACAUCUGCUUCCGUGGCCUGGGGUUUGCCAGUUCAGAUCCUACGUGCGUACCUAUGCACCACUUGUCAAGCCAUGCUGUGGCAGGCAUCCCACAUAUAAAGUAGAGGAAGAUGGGCACGAAUGUUAGCUCAAGGUUAAUCUUCCUCAAAAAAAAAAAAAAAAGAAUGCAUACUUCCCCUCUUACGCCCUAUUGGUAAUGCCAGGCUUAGUCCCUUUCCUGGCAUCAUGGUCAUGUUGACACGCUAAUUUGCAACUGAAUACCUCUUAGAAAAUUUAUCCUGGGUGUGUUUAAUGUAUCUUCUUUGUCCUAAAAAGAUAUAACACUGUACUGAAACCCAUACUUCUCUGCAACACCUUCUAAGGCCUCCCUCGGUUAUAAUCCUCACUCUGGCUCUUAAUAAACUCACCUCAAUUUUGACUUAUAAAUUGGUUGUGGAUUAUUUGCGUUGACAGGUAGAACCUAGUUUAAAACCCACUUUUGCCUCUACCUGGCUUUAUUACCAGGGCAAGAGUUCCUCAACCUCUUGGCUUCAAAUUUUUCUUUGAAAAUUAAAAUGAUAAUAACAUCUCUUUUUUUAGGUCAUUGUGAGGCUUUCAUUGGAUCAUGCACAUAAAGCACUUAGCAUGAGCCUGGCACAAAGUAAGUGCUCCAUAGGCAGAGGUACAGUGAUCAUGAUGAUAGUGAUAUUGUGGGAAACGGUGUGUGAGACGUAGAUUCAAGUUAGUUCUUCUCAAUCUUAUUCAAUGGUGCAGUGGAAUUCUGGAAACAGAAGAGUCUGAGUCUCAGUACUAUCACUCAUAGCAGUGUCACUUUUGGAAAAGACAGCUGACUUUUUUCUUUUUACUACUUUUUUUAAGAAGACCAUUUCUUUUUAGAGCAGAUUUAGGUUCACAGUAAAAUUAAAAGGAAGGUACAGAGAGUUCCCAUAUACUUCCUAGCCCCACACGUGAACAGCCUCCUGCAUUAUCAACACCCCACACCAAAGUGGUACUUUUGUUCAAUUGAUGGACCUCUGUUGACACAUCACACUCACCCAAAGCCCGUAGUUUACAUUAGGGUUCUCUCUUGGUGUUGUCCAUUCUAUGGGUUUAGAUGAAUGUACAAUGACAUGUAUUUAUCAUUCUAGUAUCAUACAGAGUAUUUUUACUGUCCCCAAAAUCCUCUGUGUUCCACCCAUUCAUUCCUCCAUCUCCACUAACCCCUGGCAACACAGAUCUCGUUACUGGUUCCUUAGUUUUGCCUUUUCCAGGAUGUCAUAUAGUUGGAAUCAUACAGCAUGUAGCCUUUUCAGAUUGGAUUCUUUCACUAGUAAUACGCAUUUAAGAUUCCUCCAUAUCUUUUUCUGGCUUGACAGCUCAUUUAUUUUUAGUGCUGAAUAAUAUUCCAUUGUCUGGAUGUACCACCAUUUAAUUAUCCAUUCACCUACUGAAGGACAUCUCGGUUGCUUCCAAGUUUUGGCAAUUAUGAGUAAAACUGCUGUAAACAUCUGUGAAGUUUUUGUGUGGAUAUAAUUUUAUAGUUUAAAUCCUUUGACUAAAUACCAAAGAACAUCAUGCACUUGAUUGUAUGUUGAGAGUAUGUUUAGUUUUGUAAGAAACCCCCAACUGUUUCCCAAAGUGGUUGUACCAUUUUGCAUUCCCACCAGCAAUGAAUGAGAGUACCUGAUGCUCCACAUCCUCACCAGCGCUUGAUGUCAGUGUUCUGGGUUUUUGCUAUUCUAAUAGGUGUGCGCAGCAGUAUCUUACUAUUGUGUAAUAAUUUGCAUUUCCCUGUGGCGUAUGACACGGAGCAUCUCUUCAUGUGCUUAUUUUCUAUCUGCACAUCUUCUUUGGUGAACUGUCUGCUAAAAUCUUUGGCUCGUUUUUCAAUCGGGAAGACAACCAACUGUUAUGAAGCCCAGUUUCCCUAUCCACAAAAUGGGGGCCUUGCUGCUGGCACCGUCUCCAUCACAGGCUGUUGAGAGCUUCAAGGUGGGGCGGCUUGCUGGCUUUGAUGAACAAGCUGCCUUAUUGGAGAGGCCCAUGUGGUAAGGAACUGAGGGUGACCUCAGGCUAGCAGCCAACAAGAAAUGAGGCCCUCCGUCCAACAGCUGUCACGGGACUGAAUCUUGCCAACAAAUGGGUCUGGAUUAAAGACUCCUCUUCUGAGCUCCCACAGAAGCCUGUCCUUCGCUAACCAUAGCACACCUCACACUGCAAUGCCACCAUCUUUCCUCUAUUAAACAGAGUUACCUGACAGCAGGAGAACAAGCUUCUACAUCUUUGUAACCCUCCCAUGCCUGGCACAGAAGAGGCUUCCCAAUAAAAGACUGUGUUAAAA
ensembl:lncRNA